UUAACGUAUCGAGACAGCUGUGUCUGAAAAGUAGCAGGUGAAUAGAAGAUAUUGAAAAACUUUUUUGGCCCGGAUUAUUAAAGAAGAAGCAACUGCCUUUGAACCUCUCAACUUCAGACGAAGGGGGUGGGGGAGGGUCUGGAUUCUCCAGAUUUUUCUGCGAAAUUUUCAAGAAACUGCAAGAGUCUGUUGGCAGGUCCUUAGCUGUGCCGAAGGAACUGAGGAAUUCAGGCUCUGAUUCCAGCUACAAGCUGUAAUGAUCUUUGCAACGAGGAGGAUGCUAGAUCAGGUGCCGCUGUCGUCAUGUCACCAUGAUUCAAAAUUGCAAGAUUAGCACAAGAGUCCCCAGAAAAUAUAUCGACACUUAACUAAAUCCAAUCCAAUCAAGGAUGUGACAGGAAUCAAACCGGGUACCUGGUGAAUAGCGGUUCCUGCAGAGUUGGGUGGAUACCUGGUUUUCAAGUACCAGGAACAGAUUGAAGCUACCAAUUGGUAUCAAUCGAGUUCAAAAUUGAUACUGGAUACAUGACCCACUUAGUCUCUAAUAAUUUUGUGUAGCUGAUACUCUUGCGCAUCUGGGACAAAUUAUGGUUGAUAAAGUAUCACCCAACUCUAUUGCAAAAAGAAUGUGGAACUCUCUUUCUAUCUGGAUGCAUCACAGAAAAUUAUCAUUUUCCUUCAGGAAGAACAAUAUGCCGGUAUCAUAUUGAACAUCAAUGAAGACCACCGCAUUUUUGAAGUCAUCUUUGUUACUGCUUAAAAGUACAGACCUGGAACCUUUCGCUACUGUUAUUUCUAAUUGAUAUUUAAGGAUGAUAAUGUUUUUGAUGGACUACUUCCUUCAAAACGAAGGUAUUUUACAUGCAAUGA